rnacentral:rRNA from 1 species
ACACUGGUUAGUUCUCGCCUUAAACUAUGAGUUUAAGUGUUAGGGGGUUUCCGCCCCUUAGUGCUGCAGCUAACACAUUAAGCACUCCGCCUUGGGAGUACGGUCGCAAGACUGAAACUCAAAGGAAUUGCCGGGGGCCCGCACAAGCGGUGGAGCAUGUGGUUUAAUUUGAAGCAACGCGAAGAACCUUACCAGGUCUUGACAUCCUCUGACAAUCCUAGAGAUAGGACGUCCCCUUCGGGGGCAGAGUGACAGGUGGUGCAUGGUUGUCGUCAGCUCGUGUCGUGAGAUGUUGGGUUAAGUCCCGCAACGAGCGCAACCCUUGAUCUUAGUUGCCAGCAUUCAGUUGGGCACUCUAAGGUGACUGCCGGUGACAAACCGGAGGAAGGUGGGGAUGACGUCAAAUCAUCAUGCCCCUUAUGACCUGGGCUACACACGUGCUACAAUGGACAGAACAAAGGGCAGCGAAACCGCGAGGUUAAGCCAAUCCCACAAAUCUGUUCUCAGUUCGGAUCGCAGUCUGCAACUCGACUGCGUGAAGCUGGAAUCGCUAGUAAUCGCGGAUCAGCAUGCCGCGGUGAAUACGUUCCCGGGCCUUGUACACACCGCCCGUCACACCACGAGGAGUUUGUAACACCCGAAGUCGGUGAGGUAACCUUUAUGGAGCCAGCCGCCGAAGGGGACCGGU